rnacentral:rRNA from 1 species
UACGUAGGGUGCAAGCGUUGUCCGGAAUUAUUGGGCGUAAAGAGCUCGUAGGCGGUUUGUCGCGUCUGCUGUGAAAUCUCAGGGCUCAACUCUGACAUUGCAUUCGAUACGGGCAGGCUAGAGUACGGAAGAGGCGAGUGGAAUUCCUGGUGUAGCGGUGGAAUGCGCAGAUAUCAGGAGGAACACCGGUGGCGAAGGCGGGUCUCUGGGCCGAUAUUGACGCUGAGGAGCGAAAGCGUGGGGAGCGAACAGG